ensembl:rRNA 5S_rRNA 5S ribosomal RNA
AACUAUGGCCAUGCCACCCUGAACCAAAGCCCGAUCCUGUCUCAUCUCAGAAGCUAAGCAUGGUCAGGCCUGUUUAGUACUUGGAUGGGAGACCACCUAGGAAGACCAGGCUCUGUAAGCG